GGACGAACGCUGGCGGCGUGCCUAAUACAUGCAAGUUGAGCGCUGAAGGUUGGUACUUGUACCAACUGGAUGAGCAGCGAACGGGUGAGUAACGCGUGGGGAAUCUGCCUUUGAGCGGGGGACAACAUUUGGAAACGAAUGCUAAUACCGCAUAAAAACUUUAAACACAAGUUUUAAGUUUGAAAGAUGCAAUUGCAUCACUCAAAGAUGAUCCCGCGUUGUAUUAGCUAGUUGGUGAGGUAAAGGCUCACCAAGGCGAUGAUACAUAGCCGACCUGAGAGGGUGAUCGGCCACAUUGGGACUGAGACACGGCCCAAACUCCUACGGGAGGCAGCAGUAGGGAAUCUUCGGCAAUGGACGAAAGUCUGACCGAGCAACGCCGCGAGAGUGAAGAAGGUUUUCGGAUCGUAAAACUCUGUUGGUAGAGAAGAACGUUGGUGAGAGUGGAAAGCUCAUCAAGUGACGGUAACUACCCAGAAAGGGACGGCUAACUACGUG
rnacentral:rRNA from 1 species